CUGCAGCCCGAGUAGUGAUCGUUAUUAUUGGGCCUAAAACGUCCGUAGCCUGUUUGGUAAAUGCUUGGGUAAAUCGUGUGGCUUAACCAUACGAAUACCGGGUAGACUGCCAGACUUGAGACCGGGAGAGGUUGGAGGUACUCCUGGGGUAGAGGUGAAAUUCUGUAAUCCUGGGGGGACCACCAGUGGCGAAGGCGUCCAACCAGAACGGGUCUGACGGUGAGGGACGAAGCCCUGGGGCGCAAACCGGAUUAGAUACCCGCGUAGUCC
rnacentral:rRNA from 1 species